rnacentral:rRNA from 1 species
AAGAACAGAGAGAGAGAGAGAGAGAGUCUAAAAAGUAGACUGAGCAGAACUUGAACGAUGCCUUUGAACGAUCUGAUGGAGAGUCUACUAAGUAGACUGGGCAGAACUUGACCCGCUAAUGACUUUGAACGAUCUGAUGGAGAGUCUACUAAGUAGACUGGGCAGAAAAUGACCCGCUGAUGACUUUGAACGAUCUGAUGCAGAGUCUACUAUGUAGACUGAGCAGAACUUGAACGAUGCCUUUGAACGAUCUGUCCCUGCGCUUCGCGGGGAUGCGUCCUGGCGUGACCACCCUGGUGGCGGCACGUCGGCGGCGCGCCUCGUUGAUAAAAGGGGACAGGACCUGUCCGAUGAUUAUGCCAGUCGGCAAACCAACUCACAACCCUGAACGGUGGAUCACUCGGCUCGUGGGUCGAUGAAGAACGCAGCAAAUUGCGCGUCGACAUGUGAACUGCAGGACACAUGAACAUCGACGUUUCGAACGCACAUUGCGGUCCUUGGAUUUCCAAUCCCGGACCACGCCUGGCUGAGGGUCGGCCUACUGAAACCACUGGGCCCGCCGCGUGAUGCGAGGUGGGCCCGAAGUUGAGGGCACGCGCGCGCUCUUGUAGCCGCACGACGCUCUUUAAGAACGAGACGGCGCCGCCGCGGACAGACGCGCCCUCCGGCGCCCGGCUUGAUACUGGGAGAAAUCCCGCACACUUGAACGAGAGCCGGGAGCGAAAAGUGCAGAUCUCUGCAGACGAGGGCAAGGGCGACUGCUCCGCGAGCGGCGGAACUUUUUCCGACCUCAGAUCAGGCGAGACUACCC